rnacentral:rRNA from 1 species
GAUGGGAGCUUGCUCCCUGAUGUUAGCGGCGGACGGGUGAGUAACACGUGGGUAACCUGCCUGUAAGACUGGGAUAACUCCGGGAAACCGGGGCUAAUACCGGAUGGUUGUCUGAACCGCAUGGUUCAGACAUAAAAGGUGGCUUCGGCUACCACUUACAGAUGGACCCGCGGCGCAUUAGCUAGUUGGUGAGGUAACGGCUCACCAAGGCGACGAUGCGUAGCCGACCUGAGAGGGUGAUCGGCCACACUGGGACUGAGACACGGCCCAGACUCCUACGGGAGGCAGCAGUAGGGAAUCUUCCGCAAUGGACGAAAGUCUGACGGAGCAACGCCGCGUGAGUGAUGAAGGUUUUCGGAUCGUAAAGCUCUGUUGUUAGGGAAGAACAAGUGCCGUUCAAAUAGGGCGGCACCUUGACGGUACCUAACCAGAAAGCCACGGCUAACUACGUGCC